UCCCUGGUGGUCCAGUGGUUAGGACUUGGUGCUUUCACUGCCAAGGCCCAGGUUCAAUUCCUGAUCUAGGAA
rfam:TPA: Bos taurus chromosome 16, whole genome shotgun sequence.